rnacentral:rRNA from 1 species
UACAGAGGCCUCGAGCGUUAGGCGGAAUCACUGGGCUUAAAGCGUGUGUAGGCGGACUUCUAAGUACCUUGUGAAAUCCCACGGCUCACCCGUGGAACUGCUCGGUAUACUGGUCGUCUUGAGCCUUCUAGGGGCGAGUGGAACAAAUGGUGGAGCGGUGAAAUGCGUAGAUAUCAUUUGGAACGCCAAUGGUGAAAACAGGUUGCUGGGGACUUAGCUGACGCUGAGACACGAAAGCCAGGGGAGCGAACGGG